GUUUUCUCAGCCGUGCAGUGAGGUCGCGGCUCCUCGCAGGGGCUCGGCUCCUCGGGAGCGGCCAGUCCAUCUGCCCAGUGCUCGAGAGCCGCAACCCACUUGCUCCGUUAAACAACGCUGAGAACAAGCAAAAAUAACUCACCUGCCCGCUCCAGGGAAGUUCUGCUCCUGAAAGAUAAGACUCUGAACCAACUAAGUAGCUUAUUUAUCAAAACUGAGCCAGCUCACCAAGGCCCAUCUCAUGCCCCUGCCUUCCUGCGUUCGCCAGUCUGUAGCUGAUGAGGCAAAAACUGCCCACGGCCACGGCUCCUGGGCUCAGGCCCGCCUUAAGACUCACUGAGCCCCAAGACCCGUCAGUAUCCUGUCCUGACCUCCGCUCCGAGCCCCCUGUCAGGUGCCGUCCUCCUUCCUGAGGGACGUGUAAUGCACUUAGCUUUGCUGGUCCACAGGCCUCCUCUGGUGGUGUCUCUGGGCGCUGGACGGUGGACGUACCUAACGUGCAGCGAGCCCUGGGAAGCGUCGGUGCCCUGCCUUCCCAGCCAUGUCUUGCAAAACGGGUGUGCUUUACUUCACAGACCUGGAGACGGCCCUUACUGUGGACCCCACUCGUCCCAGUUGCCAUCUCUGUUACUUUGGGAAACUUCCCUAACCUCUGCAAGUUCGGUUCCCUCUGUGAAGUGGACUCAGUGACAGCUCCCGCCUUAUGUAUUUCUUAUGAGGACCGAAGGAGCAAAGCCAUGUAAUACAUUCUCCUCAACAGUGCUUUUCUGCGCUCCAGUCUAGCUCACCCUCUGGGCUGCAAAGGAAGUGCAGCCGAGUCCCUGACCUUUGGCUUUCUUAGUCGUCCUUGAAGUUUUACUACAGAGAUACCAAAGACCCAAAUCUGACUCCAGGCUAACUGAUAGCCAGCCUGGGGAUGAGUGGACGCCGGGGCCUCACGCUGCCCUGGGAGCAAGCAGGCAGGCGAACACGCUCACAUAGCUGGAGGUACUCCCAGGCCUAAAGACCGAGGGAGGCAGGUGUGGAUCUGAAUUUCCCAGGGGAAAAUGAAGCCUGCAGAGUGAGUUUAUUCGACGUCGCCAACAGAGCCCUUGGCAAUGGGGUUUAAUUUUCCUGCGAAAUGGAGGUGGGAGAAACCGUUCCAGAGCUUGGAACCAUCUGCAUCCAGGAGAUUCCAGGACCUAAGGAAGAGUGGGGUUUGCUCUUUAAACAAAGAACACGUGGUCCUAAGAGCCUUGUACUCUAGAAUCCUGGCCCCUCCUCCCUUAUUCCUGAAAGCACAGUUUAUGGGCAACUGGUCAACAAGUCCUGGCCCCCAGCAUCUUGGUUCAAGGUUGCGGGGUCUAAGUUUAAUAAAAAUGCAUGAGGAUCCCAGGAGAGGGCUCCGCCUUAGCUCUCGGGUGACUUCUCAGAACCAGGUGCAUCAGAAAAAGGUUUUUUAAAAACUUAAGCUACUGAAGGAUUGAUGGCUCGAAACAGCUCAGAUGUAUCUGUUUACAUCACACGGUUAUGCUUCAUAGAUUUCAGAAAGAUUGUGCUGUUGAAAAGAGCAUACAGAUGUUUAAAGUAAACUAACUCAACCUCUGGAAAAUAGUCAAGGAACAAAAUUACAACUUUGGGCAGGUGAUGCAGACGUAUUACAUUCGGCCUGAAGUGGCCUUGGAGAAGCUGAUUUUUAAAGUGCGCUCAGACACAGACAUUAUUCUGUGGAGCCCCCCAGUGGACACAUGCCGCCAUGGCCGCUCUGCAUCCCGCCGUCGGGCUGUGAAGGAAAAGCCCGGUCUGCAGUCUGCGUCUGGGGACAGUCUACGCGACCACCAAGAAAACACACCAUCACGCAGUGACAGAGAGGACUGCAGUAUGGAUGCUGUGCUUAAAAGCAAGACCUCGAGGGGUCAGUGUGAACGCUGAUGGGUAAAAAUAGGCUGAAAGGAGAUCAAGUUGGCAUUUUCAGCCACAAAUCGAUGCAGGACUGGAUACAUUCUUACACAGCAGACUUCUUAGGUGGUCCCACAUUCCUAACGUGUUCUGACUGCGAUCUUGCUUUCUGACCGUGACCACUUUGUUCAUAUCAUGUGUCUGUUCCUUGACCAGACUCUUUCCUUUGACGUUAACAGUCUCUCUACAGGAGAAAGUAAGUUAUACACGUGUCCACUUCAUUGUGCACUUUUGACCUUCUGAAUAACAGCAUCAAAUAUCCACUCGUUGUUUUGUAAGAAUUUUGUAAGAUAAUUAAAGUUUGCUCUAAAUCAGGGGUUAGCAAACUUUCACUAAAGAACCUGAGAGUAAAUAUUUUAGGUUUGCUAGUCAAGAGGGAAAAUUCAAGAAUAUGAUCUAGGUGCUUAUAUAGUCAUUUAAAAUGUCACCCUUUAAAACCAUGGAGACCAUUCUUGGCUCCGGAGCCCUAAGGAAGCAGGUGGCUGGCCAGAUUUGGCCCGUGGGGGGUUGUUUUUUGAUCCCUGCCCUCGCUUAUCAUUUAUUUUGCAGAUAAAAG
rnacentral:lncRNA from 1 species